UAAUGAUGAAGCCUCUUGGCACUGUGCCCCCAGCCUCUACCCACCCGCUCAGAGGAAUAUACCAUCACCCCCAGCUUACAGCAGUUAAAUAUCUGGAUGAAGCUGGAAACCAUCAUUCUGAGCAAACUUAUCGCAAGGACAGAAAACCAAACACCACAUGUUCUCACCCGUAGGUGGGAAUUGAACAAUGAGAACACUUGGACACAGGAUGGGGAACAUCAUACACCGGGGCCUGUCGUGGGAUGGGGAGGAGGGAGGGAUAGCAUUAGGAGAUGUACCUAAUGUAAAUGAUGAGUUAAUGGGUGCAGCACACCAACAUGGCAC
rnacentral:lncRNA from 1 species